GACGGAGGGUGCAAGCGUUGUUCGGAAUUACUGGGCGUAAAGGGCGCGUAGGCGGUCUGUUAAGUUCGGUGUGAAAGCCCCCGGCUCACCUGGGGAACUGCGCCGGAAACCGACAGACUCGAGUACCGGAGAGGAGGGUGGAAUUCCUGGUGUAGCGGUGAAAUGCGUAGAUAUCAGGAGGAACACCGGUGGCGAAAGCGACUCUCUGGACGGCAACUGACGCUGAGGCACGAAAGCGUGGGGAGCAAACAGG
rnacentral:rRNA from 1 species